rnacentral:tRNA from 1 species
AUUUAUAUAGUUUAAUUAAAAACAUUACAUUUUCAUUGUAAAAAUAAAAUAUUUAUUUUUAUAAAUA